CUUAGCCUCUCUCUCGCUCUCUUCUUCAACGCACCCGGCCCGUCGACGGCUCCUUCCCCGUUGCCGCCGCCGCCUCCGCAUCUCCUCCCUCUGCCCUCUCCCUCUCGCUCGUCGUACCGCCAGUCGCGGGCCCAGCACGGGCGGCGGCGCCGGCACCACGCCGCCGGCCAGCGUGGCCGCGGUCAGGCGAGGCGCCGCGCCGGCUGUUCAUCUCCCGCUCGCCCUCCUCCUUCAAGACCCCGGCCGACCUCCCCAAACCCUAGCCCCUUUCGUUUUUCCCCUUCUCCUCCAUUGCCGCCGCCACUGCCUCCUUCCCCGAUGCCGGCCGCCGUCGAAAUUCGUCAUCUCCGGGCUCGUGGCAACCACCUCCGCCCGCCGUCGCCGUCCUCCGUCGGGCCGCCUGUCCACCGCCGUUCGAGCCGUAGGUGACCCUCGCCGCCCCACCGUCUUCCUCGCGCGCGCCGGCCCUGACCCCACUUUCCUCCCUCGCCGCCGCCGUGGCCGCGGUCAGGGGUCCGCCUAACCCCUCGUUCUCCCCAGCCGCCGCCAGCUGCCCGCAGAGCUCGCCGGCGCUCGUGGCGGCGGCCAAGAAGGUGCGGGAGACCGAGCAGGACGCCGUGGCGGCGAGGGUGGGGACCGAGGUGGCCGCCGGGAUCGGCGAACAGGCGGGGAUCUCCCGCCGUCAUCCCGGAUGGUUCUGAUAUCAGCCCCAUGUGGUCCGUAGGUGAGGCGCCCCCUUUGAAGGUGGAAAAGAUGCUGUUCUAAGGGAAGUUGGACUACCAAAAUGUCAUGGUUUUCCAGUCCUCUCCGUUCGGCAUGGUGCUCCUGCUGGAUGGAGUAAUUCAGGUUACUCAGAGGGAUGAGUGCGCAUACCAAGUGAUGAUUACCCACCUCCCCCUUUGCUCCAUCAAAGAUCCCAACAAGUUACUGGAGGAGGAGAUGGUGGUGUUUCACGACGUUUCCUCUGUGGAACAGAUUGACAUUUGUGAAAUUGACAAGAUGGUGGUAGAUUUUGUGAAUUCAUACACAAAGUAGGCUUGGAAGGGACCAGCUACUCCAAGGAAGAGACGAACUUAAAGGGUUUCAAGGAAUGCUUGUUCUUAUACCGCAGUUUCUUAUUGGAACUGGAUAUUACUCUUUUGUAUUUCAGAGCACAAUUGUUUUUGUUGAAGUGUAGGGAAUCCUAUUCUUCUUACAUGAUUUCAGAAAGUAUAUUUGGAUAAUGAUAUUAAGAAAGGCCAGCGAAUUUGGUAGAAAUACAUUUCAGUACAGUCCUUCAUCAUUGUUCACUUUAUGGUGCAAAAAAUAGUUUGCGCUUCACGAUGUAAUGUUGAGUAGUAUGACUGUUGGUUGGUUCGGUUAUGAAUCCUAUAAUAUAUUUUCUUUGAAUA